rnacentral:rRNA from 1 species
UACGUAGAGUGCGAGCGUUAAUCGGAAUUACUGGGCGUAAAGCGUGCGUAGGCGGUCCGCGAAGUCUGAUGUGAAAGCCCCGGGCUCAACCUGGGAACUGCAUUGGAAACUAACGGGCUCGAGUGUGGCAGAGGGGGGUGGAAUUCCACGUGUAGCAGUGAAAUGCGUAGAGAUGUGGAGGAACACCGAUGGCGAAGGCAGCCCCCUGGGCUAACACUGACGCUCAGGCACGAAAGCGUGGGGAGCAAACAGG